rnacentral:rRNA from 1 species
GUCGUCAGCUCGUGUCGUGAGAUGUUGGGUUAAGUCCCGCAACGAGCGCAACCCCUGUGAUCUGUUGCCACCGGCGCAAGCCGAGCACUCUGAUCAGACUGCCCUGUGAAACGGGGAGGAAGGUGGGGACGACGUCAAGUCAGUAUGGCCCUUACGGCCAGGGCUGCACACGUACUACAAUGCCCAGGACAGAAAGAACCGAAACCGCGAGGUGGAGGAAAUCAUUAAGCCUGGGCCCAGUUCGGAUUGAAGGCUGCAACUCGCCUUCAUGAAGUUGGAAUCGCUAGUAAUGCCGUAUCAGCUACGACGGCGUGAUACGUUCCCGGGCCUUGUACACACCGCCCGUCACAUCAUGGAAGUCGUUUGUACCCGA